AUCACUGAUAAUGAAAAGGUUAAAAAAAUGCUGUUUCUUGUUUCUAAAUGAUCAUACAGUAGUUCAAGUGUUAGAUCCAUGGGUUUGCCGUGACACCGAGCAGAGACCUGCAGUCCAGCGGUGCAGGCUGUCUCUCUGAAGCAGAGGAUGGCGGUCGUCUUAAUUUAUAUCAGUCUUCUCAGACAGCCCACAAACAUUGGAAGACUUUCUGAUCAGAGACUGGAGCGGUGGUCCGGAGAGAGGAGGAUGUGGAGCCGGAGCUCGUCUGGGGGGCGGAGCUCGGCAGCACCUGGUGUCGUUGUGUCCUGAGUCUGAAUCUGCUGUCAGGAGGCUGACCUGGACCAUACCAUGCGUGGUGAAGCAUGUUAAACAAAUGUUCGCACAUUUGGAGUACUGUGCCGGGAAGAGGACGUGCUGUCCCUGAAGGAUGUCCGAGCUGAAGGAUGUCCGAGCGGAGACACCGGAGCGUCCUGUCAACAGCAGAUAAACACUACUUCACCUAAGAGACUUGAGUAUCCAGUUCUUCGUUGACCUUCAGCAUUCAGUUGUUUGUCUUCACCUUUUCAGGUAAGCAAUUUAAAAAAAAUGCUUUUGUAAUGUUGAGAAACACUGAAAUUAUUAUUCAUAAAGAACUUUCAACCAUUGUUCUGUGAUGUCAUGUAUAGUGAUAUACAAAUAUAUCUGAAGGAAAGGUGUAUUUGGGAUAAUCAAUAUUAUUAGUAUUAUUCAUGUAUUUAUUCAUUUUUAAAUCAGAGAAUGGGAGAAAAUAGAUUAUUAGUACAAAAACUAGUAACUAGUAAAAAAAAUUGGUAACAAUAAUGUUCAUUCAUUAAUUGACGCUUGGUCAAACUCAUCUAAUUAAGUAUUGCUGUCUCAUUAAUGUAUUUAUUUAUUUUGUAGGCUAAAACCUGAGAAGCCAUCAUCAUGUUGUUGUUUCACAUCAGAAUAAGUAUUUCACAUGAUGCAGAUUUUUCAGCAUGUGGUCCUCAAUAUAGUAUAGAAGUCACUGUAUUUUCUAACUUUUCCAGGUUUCCUGUGUCCAGCAUCUUCAAGACAGACUAAGCUAACUUUUCAUAUUUUUUGCACAUUUAUAUUUAGGUUAGGUUAGGAGUAGGUUAGGUUUAUAGUAGAGUAUUUAGUUUGUAUAGUUUAGCUUUUUAUGCUGAUCUAGGGACAGUUAAGUUAGCAAAUUAAUUUAGUUCAGAUCACUUAGAGUUGCAUAUUAUUGUUACAAUUGUGUUAUUUUGUGAGUUAUUGUUGUACAGGCUAUUGUAUAUUGCAGGACCAAGUGAGACGAGGAAGACCACUGCUUCCAAGAUGCCGCGCUCAGAAAGUGCGUUGGACAAGUCUCAACCUUGCAGAUCCUGCCCCACUUAGCCCAACCACUUCCGACCAUGGGGUACCUCAAAGACCUCCGUCAACCAGCCGGCUGUGGAUGAUGGAUAACGCACCCACAACUCCUUCUCCAGUCUACAAGGUUGAAAUUACAGACACCCCCACAGUCCAAGAACAGCUGGAUGACCUCUGGACCCACUUGCCCCCAUUCACCAGUUGAAAAGAUAGGCUUUUUAAAAAAUUCUUCAAUUGUAAAUUCUGCACAAAGUGAUACACAAAACAUUGUAUGUCUUCCAUUUCAACAAACACAAACAUGAAAUGUAUAUUUAAAUACAUAACUUAAUGCAAAUCAAUCAUACUAAACAUCAUCUUCUUUUUUUUAGACCAACCAUUGCACGCACUUCCAUCCAAGGAGAGGUUACAUCUUGAUGGAAACUUUUUAGAUUAACAAAACUUUUGUGAGAUUUGUAAUUGUUGUUUCUGGGGAGGGGGCGGAGAAGGUAAGUCUAAACAUUGCAUGCAAGAGACAAACACCGGUGUCUCAGGGGAAAGCUAUCUGUAUACACAAGUAUCAAUCUACUUGGUUGCUUCAAAAUGUUACGAUAGUUUUGCAAUUCCUGACCCCGAGAGAAGCACAUCAAACAAACAAAAAAAGCAAUGGUAGAUUUUCAAGGCCUUUCAAUGACAUUAACAUUAUUUUCAAUGACAUUCAUUUUGCAAUUAACAUUAGUUUUAUCUUCUAAAACAUAACUAUAAUGACAUUCAAAUGUAGAUUACCACAAACACAAUAAUAAACUUCAAGUCUCAUUGGAUAAAAUAAAAAAAUAUUGACAGUCCUGAAAUGAUGGGUUAAACAUCCUUAAUAAGCCUACAUUAAUAAUAUAUUAAUUUCAGGUGAAAUAUUUAUUUUUUAACCUUAAAUUGAAAUCUCACUUAAAGAAAUUGAUACGUAGUAUUUUUCAUAUGAAAUUAUGUAAAAACAAAGAGAAAAGAAAAGAUAAGUCUAAAACUAAAAAGUGGUCUUCCUCGUCUCGCAUGGUCUCAGUAG